GGCGGGCUCCAGAGACAAAGGAGUGGGAGAUGAUCUGGGAUUUUACUCAUGCACAAACUCAGCUAGUAGAUCGCUCAUACGUGUGCAUUUGUGCGUGUGUGUGUGUGUUUAGGGUUUCUGCUGAUUUCCAUGACGAAUAUUAUUUCCUUUAUUGACAUCAGCAUCAGAGAUUUCCCAAAACUCUGGGAUGCCUGUUAUUCCUAGGUCGGGGCAUGGGGCAAGAAGCCGACAACUCUCGUUUUGCCAGAUUGAGACACACGAUGCUGACUUGCAUUCCUGCCAAAUUAUUGGUGCACGGGCUUUGUCUGAGUAGGCAGAGGCUCCACGGAACUGACAGUGAAUCGUUCUCGCAAGGCCGAGGAUACAAUUUGGCUGCGGCUGCGUAGCCCAGUGCUCUUUACAUGCAAACGGCCAGCAAAAAUAAUGGCAUGUCAAGUGCAAUUUUCUCCCCAGCCGCUGACACCGUAAACUAUAAUAUAGUGUAAUUAUUUGGCAUCCCGUGUCCUUCAUACUAAGCACCACCCAAACGAUUUCCAAGUUGCAGAGAAGAGGGAAGGUUAGAAGGUCAAAUUUAAAGAGAGAAAAUGAGUCAGUGCCUUGGAGGGAGAGAAUUAUAAAUAGAUGUGGCAUCACCAGCAGUGGAGUUAUAUCCAAAUAAGGAACUGCUCAGAAGCCCAGGUAGGAGGGGAAAAGGGAAGAAAGAGAGCAGAGGAGUUUAUGUAACAGAGAGGAUUUAGGAUAGAUCUCUGACCACCUGGAGAGCAAACCGGUUCUUCCCAAAAUAAACCAAUAUGAGGAACCAGGAUCACAGAACCAGAGAACAAGAGCCAAAAGAACUUGGGCAGAAAAUCAAUAGACGCUACACUCAUUUUUCUUAUAUUGCUUGCUUUUCCUGUUCCAUAGGGAUUUGUAUGUUAAAUAUAAUUUCAUAAUCCACGGUACCACUACAAGAGAGGAAACUGCCCCAGAGAGGCUGUCUGACUUGCUCUUCCAGCUGCUUUGUAGCAGAAGUGAAAAAGGAAGAAGUCAGAUCUCCAAGAGAGCCUUCCCAUCCUUUCUCUGUGACUCUCAGAUUCCAACCUUAGUUCUCUUUCAGUCACCUUGACCCUCUCGGCUCUUUCAACAGUCUGGCAUCUGUGAUCGCCUCUGCUGGGAAUGCUCUCCCUUUCCAUCCCUGCACUCUGGGAUGCCACUCUAUAGCCAGGACGCUGGCUAUAGCGUCUCAGCUCACAGGCUAUUUCUUUCAAGAAGGUUCUACAUCCUACCAAACAGACAAGCUUCCCGGCCCAUUAAUUCCAUGACAGAGGGUUUGCAUUUGUAUUUGUUCCAAGCGGAGAAUCUACUGGCCACAAUGCUUAGGAGACAACAAGAACACAUAAGUAUAUAGGAUGAAGAGUCCUUGCACCACCUUAUUCUCUUCCAGAAUUGGCAGAGUAAGUCACCCCUGGAGCUCCUAAUUAUGUGGAAUGCUAAGUAUUUACAAGUAUACUCUUGUUCCACGAAGAACUAGAGUCUCUUUGGCUGAUACCUGUUUCUGAGAAAUUCAGAAAGAAGAGUUCUGAGGUACCUUGUGCCAUAAGCACAGACAUAAGUUUGCAGAUGGAUUGGAGACAAUGAAAUCAUCAUCUCUAUGUAGUGAUUCAUACCACGGGUAAGGGGCUUAGAGAGGAUCAUGCAGUCUCCUCAAAAAAGAGUUGUUUUAACAAGUUAACUUGCACACUAUGACUACCUCAAAGAAAGACUUUUAAAAUCAGAAAGUAGUGGGGUGCCUGGGUGGCUGAGUGGGUUAAGCCUCCAAC